GAGAAGGCGGUGCAGGGCUCUUGCCAGGAGCUACCAGGGCGGGUAAAUUAGGACCCUCAGCUCUUUGGCCUUUAGCCUCCGGGCGCUUGGCUUAGUUCCUUGCUGCACACGGGCCUGGGUUCAUCUCCCAGGAAAUGCCAUCUGGAGUCAGGUCUGAGAGACACCGUCCCACUCCCGCCCCGUACCUGUCCCCUCCCUCCUGUUCAGAUGUGGGCCAAGCUGCUCCCCUGGGCAGUGUGUCCAGACCCUGGGGUCCAGUCCCCGAGUCCAGCCCUCCGCUGGCUCAAGCCUUCGCUCCUCAAUUCCAUCUUGUGCAAGCCCAGCUGCCUCUGACUGCGCUGCCUCCCUGUCCAGCCACCCUGCCUGGGGAUACAGCUCCCUCAGACAUCCUCCAGCUCCUUCCUCUGCCAUCCCCCGCUCUCGGGGCAGCCUCCUGGGAGCCCAAGCCAGUCCCUUCCCUCCGUAGCCCAGCAUUCCCUCUCUCCUCCCCUCAGUGUCACUGUUCCAGUGCUGAUCCAGUGUGGUCAGUGGCAUACGGAGGAUGCUAUGGGCUCAGCAGAGUGGUGAGUGACAGGGGUGACCAGAGACUGUGCUGUUCCUCCCUUUAGAGACGGACAGCAGGGGGGCGAAGCUCGGUGCCAGGAGAGAGGCUCAGGACCCGGUCUGUGAUGGGAGGCUGCCUGAGCCUGGCCUGCCAGGGAGGCGGUGAGGGAAGUGGGUGGGGAGGGUGGGGAGAAGAGCCAACCCUUUGAACUGCCCCAAGAGCAGCCUCUGUGGCCUCAGGAGACAGCGCCUCAAAUGUCGCUGCCCCGGGCCAGGGAAGGGGGAAGAGGAGGUUUCUUAACACCAGUCACUUUUACUCUAGUUAUUUGACCAAAACGAAUUGUUCUUAGAAGGAAGAAGAAGAAGAAAAAAACAACAACAAACAAAAAACCAAAAAACCCACCACUGAGGUCACUUCUAUUACCCGAGCAGCUGAGGGAAAGAUCCUGCGAGCAGAUAACGUACCUGGGCCAGGGCUCUCCCCCAGCCCUCACCCCCUGCACAUAAUCUCGCCGCCUGGCCACCCUGCACCCAAACCCCAGCUGCUGCCUUGGCAUCCUGGAAGGUUCUAGAAGGCUGUUCCAAGUUGUCGCUAGUGUUCCAUGCAGUACCAUGUGCAAAGCCCUGUGCCUGGGGUAUAAAGCUGGCGCCCAGUACAAAGGGCAAUUGUGGUUGCUGUUAUCACCAUCGUGGGGUACCGUCUUUCCAGAUUCCAGUUUCUAGGUUUUCACUCGUUCUUGUGGCAGCCAUGAAGGGGUGGUGGUUACAAGCGUGUGAACUCUGGAAUUAGACAGAUUGGAGCCGUGUCGUAGCUUCUCCCCUUACGAAUGGUCACAGGAGC